rnacentral:rRNA from 2 species
UGGUGACUAUAGCUAGGAGGAAACACCUCUUCCCAUUCCGAACAGAGAAGUUAAGCUCCUAUGCGCCGAUGGUACUGCAUUUUUAAGUGUGGGAGAGUAGGUCGUUGCCA